rnacentral:lncRNA from 1 species
AUCCAACUGAGAUCACCAUGAUAAUAUAAGAUCACUGAUGAUCCAAACCUGAGGUGAUCUGAUCCUUAGUGAUCUAAGAUCACUAUAUUUGAUUGGCUAUAGUACAGUGAUUAAAGAUCUCUGAAUAUGUACAAGUAAUUUAUUUGGUAUAUUAUAGGAAUCUAAGAUCACUGACCAUAUAAUACCAAAAAUAUUCCUGACAUAUCUCAAAGAAAAAAAAU